rnacentral:rRNA from 1 species
GUAGGUGAACCUGCGGCUGGAUCAUUA